UCCAGUUCACUCCGCACAGUAAAAACGGCAAAAUGCUCAUGGCAAAGUGUCGUACGCUGCAAGAGGAAAACGAAGAAAUAGGGAGGGAGGCUUCGGAGGGCAAGAUACAUGAUCUGGAAACAAGGCUGGCUGUUCAAAAGUCGUUGAGCUCUGAAUUGAAACGCGGUUAUCAAGAGCUGUUUCGGUACGUCCGUGAUCUCAAUG